AUCUAUACUGUGAGAAUCAGUGUCAACUUUGUGGGGCUUAUAUUCAGUUAUUCUUUAUGUAAAAUAGGAGUCAUGACCUAAUAAUAUCAUAACAUAAACUGAUAUUAGUGCAGAGAAAUCAAAG
ncrna:unclassified sequences hatchet ribozyme